CGAUGCCACUAGCGAUCGGCGGUGGCUAUUAAACCCUGCCUGGGAGCUUCCCGGAAACGAAAGUCUUCGGGUUCCGGGGGUAGUAUGGUUGCAAAGCUGAAACUUAAAGGAAUUGACGGAAGGGCACCACCAGGAGUGGAGCCUGCGGCUUAAUUUGACUCAACACGGGAAAACUCACCCGGCCCGGACACUGUAAUGAUUGACAGAUUGAGAGUUCUUUCUUGAUUCGGUGGUUGGUGGUGCAUGGCCGUUCUUAGUUGGUGGAGUGAUUUGUCUGGUUUAUUCCGAUAACGAACGAGACUCUAACCUGCUAAAUAGUUCUGCAGUAGCUUCGCUGCAGCAACUUCUUAGAGGGAUCAGUGGUGUUUAGCCACACGAAAUUGAGCAAUAACAGGUCUGUGAUGCCCUUAAAUGUUCGGGGCUGCAUGCGCGCUACAAUGGAAGGAUCAGCGUGCCUCUUCCUUGGUCGAAAGACCUCGGUAAACAUGUGAAAACCUUUCGUGAUCGGGCUAGUGGAUUGCAAUUAUUCCACUUCAACGAGGAAUUCCCAG
rnacentral:rRNA from 1 species